GACGAACGCUGGCGGCGUGCUUAACACAUGCAAGUCGAACGGAAAGGCCCUGCUUGCAGGGUCCUCGAGUGGCGAACGGGUGAGUAACACGUGGGUGAUCUGCCCUUCACUUCGGGAUAAGCCUGGGAAACUGGGUCUAAUACCGGAUAGGAGCCAUUUUUAGUGUGAUGGUUGGAAAGUUUUUUCGGUGUAGGAUGAGCUCGCGGCCUAUCAGCUUGUUGGUGGGGUAAUGGCCUACCAAGGCGGCGACGGGUAGCCGGCCUGAGAGGGUGGACGGCCACAUUGGGACUGAGAUACGGCCCAGACUCCUACGGGAGGCAGCAGUGGGGAAUAUUGAACAAGGGGCGCAAGCCUGAUGCAGCGACGCCGCGUGGGGGAUGACGGCCUUCGGGUUGUAAACUCCGUUCGCUAGGGACGAAGCUUUUUGUGACGGUACCUAGAUAAGAAGCACCGGCUAACUACGUG
rnacentral:rRNA from 1 species